GAUGAACGCUGGCGGCGUGCCUAAUACAUGCAAGUCGAGCGAACGGACGAGAAGCUUGCUUCUCUGAUGUUAGCGGCGGACGGGUGAGUAACACGUGGAUAACCUACCUAUAAGACUGGGAUAACUUCGGGAAACCGGAGCUAAUACCGGAUGAUAUUUUGAACCGCAUGGUUCAAAAGUGAAAGACGGUCUUGCUGUCACUUAUAGAUGGAUCCGCGCUGCAUUAGCUAGUUGGUAAGGUAACGGCUUACCAAGGCAACGAUGCAUAGCCGACCUGAGAGGGUGAUCGGCCACACUGGAACUGAGACACGGUCCAGACUCCUACGGGAGGCAGCAGUAGGGAAUUUUCCGCAAUGGGCGAAAGCCUGACGGAGCAACGCCGCGUGAGUGAUGAAGGUCUUCGGAUCGUAAAACUCUGUUAUUAGGGAAGAACAUAUAUGUAAGUAACUGUGCACAUCUUGACGGUACCUAAUCAGAAAGCCACGGCUAACUACGUG
rnacentral:rRNA from 1 species